rnacentral:rRNA from 1 species
UACGGAAGGGGGCUAGCGUUGUUCGGAAUUACUGGGCGUAAAGCGCACGUAGGCGGAUCGAUCAGUCAGGGGUGAAAUCCCAGGGCUCAACCCUGGAACUGCCUUUGAUACUGUCGAUCUGGAGUAUGGAAGAGGUGAGUGGAAUUCCGAGUGUAGAGGUGAAAUUCGUAGAUAUUCGGAGGAACACCAGUGGCGAAGGCGGCUCACUGGUCCAUUACUGACGCUGAGGUGCGAAAGCGUGGGGAGCAAACAGG